AUUGAACGCUGGCGGCACGCCUAACACAUGCAAGUCGAGCGGUAACAUGGCUAGUAGCAAUACUAGUUGAUGACGAGCGGCGGACGGGUGGGUAACACGUAGGAACUUGCCUAAUAGAGGGGGAUAACUAAGGGAAACUUUAGCUAAUACCGCAUAUACUCGCGAGAGGAAAGCUGCCAGCAAUGGUGGCGCUAUUAGAGAGGCCUGCGUCCGAUUAGCUAGUUGGUGAGGUAAAGGCUCACCAAGGCUGGGAUCGGUAACUGGUCUUAGAGGACGACCAGUCACACUGGGACUGAGACACGGCCCAGACUCCUACGGGAGGCAGCAGUGGGGAAUCUUGGACAAUGGGGGCAACCCUGAUCCAGCGAUGCCGCGUGAGUGAAGAAGGCCUUCGGGUCGUAAAGCUCUUUAGGUCGGGAAGAAGGUUGGUAGUCUAAGAGACGAUCAACGUGACUGUACCGGCAGAAUAAGCACCGGCAAACUCUGUGCCAGCAGCCGCCGCGGUAA
rnacentral:rRNA from 1 species